GCGGAGGGAUCAUUACAAGAAGCCGAAAGGCUACUUAAAACCAUCGCGAACUAUUCCAAGUUGCUUCGGCGGUGCGGCUCUCCCCCCCCGGGGGUCUGCCGCGUGCGCCGCCACCUCCCCCGGGAGCUGGCGGGGCGCCCGCCGGAGGUCACAAACUCUCAUGUAUUACAGUGGAUCUCUGAGUAAAAAACAAACAAGUUAAAACUUUCAACAACGGAUCUCUUGGUUCUGGCAUCGAUGAAGAACGCAGCGAAAUGCGAUAAGUAAUGUGAAUUGCAGAAUUCAGUGAAUCAUCGAAUCUUUGAACGCACAUUGCGCCCGCUAGUACUCUAGCGGGCAUGCCUGUUCGAGCGUCAUUUCAACCCUCAAGCCCUGCUUGGUGUUGGGGCCCCACGGCUGCCGUGGGCCCUGAAAGGAAGUGGCGGGCUCGCUACAACUCCGAGCGUAGUAAUUCAUUAUCUCGCUUAGGGCGUUGUGCGGUGCUCCUGCCGUUAAAGCACCCCUUUAACUCAAGGUUGACCUCGGAUCAGGUAGGAAUACCCGCUGAACUUAA
rnacentral:rRNA from 1 species